UAAACAGCUGCUGCCUGAGUUACUCCACAGGUCGUUGCUAGGUAACCAGAGUGAGCGAGUUGCUAGGUAAGCAAAGAGUAAGCGAGUUGGUUGAUUCCACCAACCUUCUAUAGCUGAUCAUGAGAGGUUGAGCGGCUAAAGUCUUUCCUCUGCCUACAUCCCCCAGAAUGCUGUGUGGUUCAGUGAAUAUUCUAUCAGAUGUGUUAUCUAUUGAUAUUGAUCGCGUGUCAGUCUCGAUAAUAUAUUAUUGCUUCGUUGUCCAGCCCUAAUGGACGGUUACUGUAAAUUUACUGAAGCUGUUUUGCUUCAAAAUGUUGCUCUCCGUCUCCGGAUUUGAAGACAAAGAUGGACAGCGCUCAUUACAGACCACAGACAUGACUCAUGCCACUAAAUGCUUUUCCUCCAUCUUUCUCCCUGAGACUCCUUUUAGUAUCUUCCCACAACGAAACAGAGGCUGAUCACUGUUGCUCCAUUUGUUGCCUCACAAAGACGUCUUGUUUUCUCCAGUUUGCCUGGCCGCUGAUGCUGGUAUGUUCUCCAGCGUCGCUGCUGUUGCCUUUUCAACAGCCUUUCUCGCCGUGACUGUGUGCGCAACUGGUGAAACGCAGUCGUUCACAUGAGUCACAAAGGGACCAUGGGAAGAGCAGCUUAUUGUCUGCGCUACUGUUAAGAACUGGUGCAUAAAAGAGCAUCAGAAUGAGGGCUGCUGGAGCAGAGAGUCUGGUUCAUGAAAGGGACAAAAUGAAGCUUUGUUUUGCUUUUCGCUUUUUCCUCAACUGGCAGUUCUGUCUAAAAAUACAAGCGUGACCCAGGAUGGUGCAAAAUAAACAUGCAAAAACCAGUUAUGCAAAGGUGGAGCUAAAAGGAGGAUACAGAAGAUUGAAUUUCAUGGGUUCAGUCAUCGGUUAAAAAACAGCUGCAGUCACAAUAACUAGUUGUUGGGAUUAGGAAGAAGAUUGUGCCAUCAGAAAACUCAGCUUCAAACAUUUUAAUUGUAAAAGUUUAGUUCUAUCUUUGUUCUAAAAUCACAAAUGUAAGUAAAACAACUAUAGUUCUUUAUUUGAAAAAUGUCAAAUUUGAAAUGCCAACUUUUUUGCAAGUAAGUUUUGCAACUCUAAGCACAUUUCAUUGAGUAGAAGCGAAGACAAAAUGUAAAAGUUAGAGACCUAGGCACUGGUUAGAAAAUGUUUUGUCUAUUUUUAGACUAACCUUUAUUUUACCAGGUAAACCGGUUGAGAACAAAUUCUCAUUUUUAACAACAACCUACCCUGGAAAUGUCAUAUAGAAGAACACAAUACAGCACAAAAAGCAAAUAGCACAACAAUACUCAUACUAGCAAAAA